UACGUAGGGGGCAAGCGUUGUCCGGAAUUAUUGGGCGUAAAGCGCGCGCAGGCGGUUAAUUAAGUUGGGUGUUUAAGCCCGGGGCUCAACCCCGGUUCGCAUCCAAAACUGGUUGACUUGAGUGUAGGAGAGGAAAGUGGAAUUCCACGUGUAGCGGUGAAAUGCGUAGAGAUGUGGAGGAACACCAGUGGCGAAGGCGACUUUCUGGCCUAUAACUGACGCUGAGGCGCAAAAGCGUGGGGAGCAAACAGG
rnacentral:rRNA from 1 species